rnacentral:rRNA from 1 species
CCUACGGGUGGCAGCAGUGGGGAAUAUUGGGCAAUGGGCGCAAGCCUGACCCAGCAACGCCGCGUGAAGGAAGAAGGUUUUCGGGUUGUAAACUUCUUUUCUGAGGGACGAAGAAAGUGACGGUACCUCAGGAAUAAGCCACGGCUAACUACGUGCCAGCAGCCGCGGUAAUACGGAGGCGGCAAGAGUUAUGAGGAUUUACUGGGUGUAAAGGGGGCGUAGGUGGUGGGACAAGUCUGAAGUGAAAGCCAGGGGCUGAACCCCGGGACUGCGUCGGAAACUGCGUGACUGGAGUGCGGGAGAGGCAAGUGGAAUUCCUAGUGUAGCGGUGAAAUGCGUAGAUAUUAGGAGGAACACUAGUGGCGAAGGCGGCGUGCUGGACAGUAACUGACGCUGAGGCACGAAAGCGUGGGGAGCAAACAGGAUUAGAGACCCGGGUAGUC